rnacentral:rRNA from 1 species
AUUGAACGCUGGCGGCAGGCCUAACACAUGCAAGUCGAACGGUAGCACAGAGAGCUUGCUCUCGGGUGACGAGUGGCGGACGGGUGAGUAAUGUCUGGGAAACUGCCCGAUGGAGGGGGAUAACUACUGGAAACGGUAGCUAAUACCGCAUAACGUCUUCGGACCAAAGUGGGGGACCUUCGGGCCUCACACCAUCGGAUGUGCCCAGAUGGGAUUAGCUAGUAGGUGGGGUAAUGGCUCACCUAGGCGACGAUCCCUAGCUGGUCUGAGAGGAUGACCAGCCACACUGGAACUGAGACACGGUCCAGACUCCUACGGGAGGCAGUAGUGGGGAAUAUUGCACAAUGGGCGCAAGCCUGAUGCAGCCAUGCCGCGUGUAUGAAGAAGGCCUUCGGGUUGUAAAGUACUUUCAGCGGGGAGGAAGGCGUUAAGGUUAAUAACCUUGGCGAUUGACGUUACCCGCAGAAGAAGCACCGGCUAACUCCGUGCCAGCCGCCGCAGUAAGAC